GACAUAAAUAAAUAGGGUUUUACUAACUCUGUUUCCCACUACAUUUGUCAUUUGAGAGAGAACUGGAAGAGACGCAAGAGAAUAGUCUGGAAGAACUCUACAAGGGAAACUCUGCUGAGAUGGGAAGGCCAAGGUGCUUUCUUGACAUUAGCAUAGGAGAAGAACUUGAAGGCCGGAUAGUGGUGGAGCUUUACAAUGAUGCGGUGCCUAAAACCGCCGAGAAUUUCAGAGCUCUCUGUACUGGUGAGAAGGGCAUUGGACCAAACACUGGUGCUCCUCUCCAUUACAAGGGAGUUCGUUUUCAUCGUGUUAUCAAAGGUUUUAUGAUUCAAGGGGGUGAUAUUUCUGCUGGAGAUGGUACUGGGGGAGAAUCUAUAUAUGGAUUGAAAUUUGAGGAUGAAAAUUUUGAAUUGAAACACGAAAGGAAAGGCAUGUUAUCGAUGGCUAAUUCUGGUCAGGACACCAAUGGGUCUCAGUUUUUCAUCACAACAACUCGCACUUCUCAUCUAGAUGGGAAACAUGUUGUUUUUGGGAAGGUAGUUAAAGGAAUGGGAGUUGUCCGUUCAAUUGAGCACAUAACCACUGCUGAUAGUGAUUGUCCCAAUGUUGAUGUUAUAAUUGUGGAUUGUGGAGAAAUUCCUGAGGGGGAAGAUGACGGAGUUUCUAAUCUUUUCAAAGAUGGUGAUAUUUAUCCUGAUUGGCCAGCUGAUAUUGAUGAGAGUCCUAUUGAUCUUUCUUGGUGGAUGACCUCUGUAGAGUCAAUUAAGGCUUUUGGUAAUGAAUAUUAUAAGAAACAAGACUAUAAAAUGGCUCUUAAAAAGUACCGAAAGUCUUUGCGCUAUCUGGAUAUUUGCUGGGAGAAAGAUGGAAUUGAUGAAGAGAGGAGUUCAAGUUUGAGAAAGACCAAGUCACAGAUUUUCACAAACAGCUCUGCUUGUAAGUUGAAAUUGGGGGACCUGAAAGGAGCACUGUUAGACACCGACUUUGCAAUGAGGGAUGGAGAAGAUAAUGUUAAGGCUUUGUUUCGCCAAGGUCAGGCAUACAUGGCGCUUAAUGAUAUUGAUGCUGCAGUUGAAAGCUUCAAAAGGGCAUUGGAUCUGGAGCCAACUGAUGCUGGAAUAAAGAAGGAGCUUGCCGCUGCAAAGAAGAAGAUUUCUGAUAGACGUGAUAAGGAGAAGAAGGCCUACAGCAAGAUGUUCCAAAAGUAGCACUUCGGCAGUCAACUGGCUGCCUUUACCUUGAAUUUACAAAUGCUUUGGAGUCCAAUCAUACCUAGUGUCAACUGGUUCAGACUUAUUUUGUCACAAGCCCUGAUUUUCUCGAGGGAAAAUCAGGUCGCUCCAGAUCAUAGGAGAAUAAGUCUGAUCCUUGCAAGAAAAUUUACCUGUAAAGAAUUAAAGCUUGAAGCUCAUCUAAUUGAACUUCUCCCCUCUUGUUUUUCUUUUUCCUAGCAAGACAGCGUUACUUUUUGGAACUUGCAAAAGGCCAAUGAGUUGUAACUUGAUCAAACGUUAAACCGAACAAUUUUGUCCUGUUACAUGCUGGAAGCAUUUGUUGAUAUGAUGGUUAGCUAGACAAACUUUCACUUGGGCCUCA